AUGUGUCCAGUGUCGAUGUAGGGAAGUUCAUGGAAAUAUUAAAGGGAAGAAACUAGGUGAUCUGUGGAACGAGAAUGCCGUAGACUGGGAGAAGCUUAAGGAUUAUUUAAGUGGGGGUGCUCAAAGGAGUAAACGUAAAAGAAAUGUUGCAUCUAUUGUUAGGGGUGCCAUUCCGCCGUACAGUCUAACAACCUUAUGUAAUUAAGAAUGCUUCUUAAUUAUUAAGAAUAGAGCUUUUACUCCUGAAGGAGCAGUCGAGACACUAACUAUGUCAAACAUAGGCGAGGAGAUAUAGAUAAAAUGCGUUGGUUUACCACUUGCAGCUAAUUUUCUAGGAGACAAUGACGUUUUCUAUACACCAGAAAAUCCAAAUUGAGCUUUGAUGAUAAUUUACCUCCCCAUUUGAAAAAGUGUUUCUCAUACUGCUCUUUAUUUCCUAAAGAUUAUGUAUUUGACAGAGAAUCCGAAACUCCUUGAAGAUAUUGGUAGUAAUUAUUUUCUUAGUUUGUUGUCUAGCUCUUUCUUUCAAAAUUUACAAAAGGAUGACUCGGGUGACAUUACAUGGUUCAAAAUGCAUGACUUAGUACGUGAUCUUGCAUUAAGUGUCGUUGGCAGUCAUGAUGUCACGAUAGUUAAAGCAGGUGAAAUGGAAAAUGAUGUGUCUCGAAUUCAUCGUCUGCAGUUAACCAUGGGAGCACCAAAAAUAUUUUCUGAUGUACUAGACCAUGGUAAAAAACUGAGGAUUAUUGUUCUCCAACUUGAAGGCUUUUUUAUCCUGAGUUUACUUGGUAACACAUCGUCUUGGUUUUAGUCAUCGGUAAGGAUAUGUGGGAACUAUAUCUUCCAGUUUUAAGUUUAAGCACAUGAGGUACCUUGACCUCAGUUAUUAUAAUCUUGAAGAUGUUCAUGCUCAGCAAAUCUACAGGAAUGUGAGAGGUGGUAAAAAAAAAGCGGAGAAGGCAAAGUUAGAAAGACUAGCAAAACAUUUAAGAUUUGACUCUACCAAUGGGAACCUUAGGAAAGAGGAGGAGACGAAUUGGCUGCUUCUAUUGAAGGUCUCCUACCUCACCCUAAUUUGGAGAUAUUGAACAUCUGGGUUAUCCCCGGUUUAAGGGUUCCGAAGUGGGUGGGUUCAUCUUCUUGUCUUCCAAACUUGGUGGAAUUAAGACUUGUAAACUGCAACAGCUGUCGAAAUCUUGAAGGCCUAGGUCACCUCCAAUGUCUUAGGGUUCUUAUUUCGUGUUUGGGCAUAGAGGAGUUUUAUUACCAGCAGGAAGACGAAGGAAACAAAGGUUCUGCAGCUACAACAACAUUCACUAACCAAAUUGAUCAUUUCUGGGAUAACUUAGAAGAAUGGGCUGUACCUUCACCACCUCAUAAUUGCUUCCCUUGCCUUGAGGAAAUAAGGAUCCACUGGUGCAGUAAUUUGACAUCUAUUCCAGAUUUACGAUUAUGGACUGCUCUCCCCUUUGUUCAAUACCUAUGGGUUGAUCCUGAUUUUGGUGAUUGUGAUGAUGAUGAUUCCAAUAAUUAGACGAGGGUGUAGAAGUAAAUCAGCUAGCCCUGCUAAAGUUCGCAUUAGCAAACAACAAACUUCAACAGGAUUCAAUUUGGAAUUGCAACGGAGCCAUCUAUAGAACACAUAUCCAGCACGUUAUUAGUUUUCGUUAAAAGCUUUCCUACAGUCUACAGAGAUUAAAAAAAACUACAUUUGUAUCGAGAAGUAAGGGGCUCACCGGAAGAGUUGAUUAAUUGGAGAUUUGAUUGGGUGAUGAGGGAUUGUGGGAGCUUGAGGAUGGCAAUUGGUUGAAUAUAUGAUUUGCCCCUCAGCAGGUGCUGGUGGUUGUGGUUUCAACCUAGUUGGGAUGACAGUCAUAGUGAUAUGCUUUCUCUUUCAAGUUGUAUUUUUAAUGGAGUUGUUCGUUCUGAUGGAUACCCAGAGUCUGUUAUUAUUCGCAACUGAAAAGUGGAAACAUGUAUAAAAGAUGCA